AUUGAACGCUGGCGGCAGGCUUAACACAUGCAAGUCGAGCGAGCGGCGGACGGGUGAGUAAUGUCUGGGAAACUGCCUGAUGGAGGGGGAUAACUACUGGAAACGGUAGCUAAUACCGCAUACCAUCAGAUGUGCCCAGAUGGGAUUAGCUAGUAGGUGGGGUAAUGGGUCACCUAGGCGACGAUCCCUAGCUGGUCUGAGAGGAUGCCCAGCCAAACUGGAAAUGGGACACGGUCCAGGCUCCUACGGAAGGCAGAGGUGGGGAAUAUUGCACAAUGGGAGCAAGCAUGAUGCAGCCAUGCCGCGUGUGUGAAGAAGGCCUUCGGGUUGUAAAGCACUUUCAGCGAGGAGGCGUUACUCGCAGAAGAGGCACCGGAUAACUCCGUGCCAGCAGCCGCGGUAAUUG
rnacentral:rRNA from 1 species